rnacentral:tRNA from 1 species
AGGACUGUUGCGAACCGGCCGGAGCGCUUGAGCGUGUGUCAAGUGGUCGCAGGUUCAAAUCCUGUCAGCCCGA